rfam:Rattus norvegicus chromosome 11, whole genome shotgun sequence.
GGGGAUUUGGCUCAGUGGUAGAGCGCUUGCCUAGGAAGCGCAAGGUCCUGGGUUCGGUCCCCAGCCCCC